CGGUAGGGCGAGCGUUGUUCGGAAUUAUUGGGCGUAAAGCGCGUGUAGGCGGUUUGUUAAGUCUGAUGUGAAAGCCCCGGGCUCAACCUGGGAAGUGCAUUGGAUACUGGCAGACUUGAAUACGGGAGAGGGCAGUGGAAUUCCUGGUGUAGGAGUGAAAUCCGUAGAUAUCAGGAGGAACACCGGUGGCGAAGGCGGCUGCCUGGACCGAUAUUGACGCUGAGGCGCGAAAGCGUGGGUAGC
rnacentral:rRNA from 1 species